rnacentral:rRNA from 1 species
GCCCAGCCGUAAACAAUUAACUUACACCAAAAAGCGCCAGGGAACUACAAGCAACGCUUAAAACCCAAAGGAUUUGACGGUGUCCCACCCACCUAGAGGAGCCUGUUCUAUAAUCGAUACCCCCCGCUUUACCUGACCAUCCCUUGCCUAUCAGUCUGUAUACCUCCGUCGAAAGCUUACCAUGUGAACGUCUUCAGUAAGCUUAAUGAUCACCAUCAACACGUCAGGUCAAGGUGCAGCUCACGGAAUGGAGAGAAAUGGGCUACAAUUUCUAAUCUAGAACAAACGAAAGGCUACGUGAAACCCUAGCUCCGAAGGCGGAUUUAGUAGUAAAAAGAAACUAGAGUGUUCUUUUUAACCCGGCUCUGGGACGCGUACACACCGCCCGUCACCCUCUUCGAUAGUAUUCUACCUGUUCAUAACUCCCCUUUCACGCCAUAGAAGAGGCAAGUCGUAACAUGGUAAGUGUACUGGAAAGUGCACUUGGUCUAUAA